GGGGAAUGAAGACCUAGUUCAGGGAAUAGGAGGGUGUAUCGCCGCCGGAGUGCGGAACACCCUCGCCUUGAGGGUUCCCACAGUGACUUGCAAAAGUCUAGUGAGACCCGAGAAGGCUGAGGCGGGACACGAAGCAUGUGGUUCUUGUGGUUGCGACGCUCGUGCCGCCAUCUUGGGUGCUGGCGGCGGAAACCGGUACCCCAACUUCCCCUCGGUGCGAACCUGGAGAAGCCACCCCAGCUGUGAGGGACGGUUGCGCCUCAUGGCCCAGGCAAGGGUACCUUCGCUGGAGCAGUACCGCGGACGGAUAUCAUGAGGGUGGCGGGACGUUGGCGGGACGUUGGCGGAACGUUGGCGGAACGUUGGCGGUGUGAGAGGUGUGGGGCUGGACUGGAACUCCUGGACUCAAGCGAUCUUCCCAUUUAUCAGGGACUACUGACGCGUGUCUCCCAAUAAAUACCUGAGUAUAAA
rnacentral:lncRNA from 1 species